rnacentral:rRNA from 1 species
AGAGUUUGAUCAUGGCUCAGGACGAACGCUGGCGGCGUGCCUAACACAUGCAAGUCGAGCGGGAUCCAACCAGUGGCAACACUGGGGAAGAUCUAGCGGCGAACGGGUGAGUAACACGUGAGAAACCUGCCCCGAAGUUCGGGAUAACCCGAGGAAACUCGAGCUAAUACCGGAUGCCCUCUUCCAGUCGCAUGGCUGGAUGAGGAAAGAUUCAUCGCUUCGGGAGGGUCUCGCGACCUAUCAGCUAGUUGGCGGGGUAACGGCCCACCAAGGCAUCGACGGGUAGCUGGUCUGAGAGGACGAUCAGCCACACUGGGACUGAGACACGGCCCAGACUCCUACGGGAGGCAGCAGUGGGGAAUCUUGCGCAAUGGGCGAAAGCCUGACGCAGCAACGCCGCGUGCGGGAUGACGGCCUUCGGGUUGUAAACCGCUUUCAGCAGGGACGAAAUUGACGGUACCUGCAGAAGAAGCCCCGGCCAACUACGUGCCAGCAGCCGCGGUAACACGUAGGGGGCAAGCGUUGUCCGGAUUUAUUGGGCGUAAAGAGCUCGUAGGCGGCUCGGUAAGUCGGGUGUGAAACCUCCAGGCUCAACCUGGAGACGCCACCUGAUACUGCUGUGGCUAGAGUCCGGUAGGGGAGCGUGGAACUCCUGGUGUAGCGGUGAAAUGCGCAGAUAUCAGGAAGAACACCAGCGGCGAAGGCGGCGCUCUGGGCCGGAACUGACGCUGAGGAGCGAAAGCGUGGGUAGCAAACAGGAUUAGAUACCCUGGUAGUCCACGCCGUAAACGUUGGGCACUAGGUGUGGGUCUCAACCAACGAGAUCCGUGCCGCAGCUAACGCAUUAAGUGCCCCGCCUGGGGAGUACGGCCGCAAGGCUAAAACUCAAAGGAAUUGACGG